AACGAACGCUGGCGGCAUGCCUAACACAUGCAAGUCGAACGAGAUCUUCGGAUCUAGUGGCGCACGGGUGCGUAACGCGUGGGAAUCUGCCCCUUGCUUCGGAAUAACAGUGAGAAAUUACUGCUAAUACCGGAUGAUGUCUCCGGACCAAAGAUUUAUCGGCAAGGGAUGAGCCCGCGUAGGAUUAGGUAGUUGGUGGGGUAAUGGCCUACCAAGCCGACGAUCCUUAGCUGGUCUGAGAGGAUGAUCAGCCACACUGGGACUGAGACACGGCCCAGACUCCUACGGGAAGCAGCAGUGGGGAAUAUUGGACAAUGGGCGAAAGCCUGAUCCAGCAAUGCCGCGUGAGUGAUGAAGGCCUUAGGGUUGUAAAGCUCUUUUACCAGGGAUGAUAAUGACAGUACCUGGAGAAUAAGCUCCGGCUAACUCCGUG
rnacentral:rRNA from 1 species